UUUUAAAGCCAAAAGUAAAAACAACCCUAUAAAGAAAAACGGAAACUCUAUCAAUUCUCCUCCUACCCAAACUCUAAAUCCAGAUCAAACCCACCUCAUAAAAGCUCAAAAAGGAAACAACUUAAUUAUUUCCACCUCAAGAUCAGGUGAUUUUAUUAGUACCCAAAUGAUUAAAUUCCUUUCAAAGCACCACAAAGAUAUUGAAACUUUCAAUCUCAAAUCUCAAUUUGAGAUUGAAUUAUAAGGAGAAAAAGAAGAACUGGAAUUGAAUGAGCAAAGGCCGGCUAUUGAGAUUUGAGAGAGAGAAGAAAGACAGAGAGAGAAGGAAACAAAGGAAGAGUCUUUUUUAACCUUUUGGCAUUGUUAUUUCUUUUAUCACAAAAAUUUCUUGAGCUAACAAGUAAGAGCUGUGGCUUGUUUUUGUGUUAUGUUUUUG
rnacentral:lncRNA from 1 species